AACGCGAAGAACCUUACCUGGUCUUGACAUCCACAGAACUUUCCAGAGAUGGAUUGGUGCCUUCGGGAACUGUGAGACAGGUGCUGCAUGGCUGUCGUCAGCUCGUGUUGUGAAAUGUUGGGUUAAGUCCCGCAACGAGCGCAACCCUCAUCCUUUGUUGCCAGCGGUCCGGCCGGGAACUCAAAGGAGACUGCCAGUGAUAAACUGGAGGAAGGUGGGGAUGACGUCAAGUCAUCAUGGCCCUUACGACCAGGGCUACACACGUGCUACAAUGGCAUAUACAAAGAGAAGCGACCUCGCGAGAGCAAGCGGACCUCAUAAAGUAUGUCGUAGUCCGGAUUGGAGUCUGCAACUCGACUCCAUGAAGUCGGAAUCGCUAGUAAUCGUAGAUCAGAAUGCUACGGUGAAUACGUUCCC
rnacentral:rRNA from 1 species